GAUUGUAUUCCAGGACUGUUUGGUGGUCAGGAGGAAGCAUGCCGGCCCCUUAAGAUGCCAUCCUGGCCAUCUGACACAGCUGUUCCAGGAGGUGACACAGGCCACUGCGUCCCUUUUGACAUAGGGACUCACAAAUCCCUGAAAAUCUCGCUCUGUCCUGGGUUGCAGUGGCCAGGAAGGGUUGACAUCGUGCCACUGACACCACCACUGCCUCUCCCUUACUGAAAUGAAGUAAUCAGUAGCGGCAUAAAGAAAGGAGGAGCUGCUCCCUGCUGCCCCCUGCAGCCCAACGUCAAGUCCGAAGGCCUGCAUGAUUCCGGAACACUAGACCAGGGACCAAGAGACAAUUCAGGCUCCUUGUCCAGAAAAACAAAACAAAACAACACCACCGCAACAAAAAGUGACCAACUGAAAGUGAAACCGACACAUCAACAGACGUUUGAUCAUCCUACCCUAAAGAAACUCUGGCUAAUUUGAGUGAGUUCUGAGUCUGUUUUGCAGUAGGUGACCAAGCAGGGAUGAGACUAGCUAAGACUGGAGCUAACGGAGAAGAAUUCUUGCAGCUGCGUGGAGGGGACCAAGAGUGAACGAGAGUAACCUCUGUGACAACACACCCCGAGAUCUCUCCCCGUUCAUCAUGCUUCUGCCACCAUUUUCUGAAUGUGUGUCCCAUGAAGAGGCAUGACUCUCGAAUGCACAUGCUCAGAAAGGAGGACACCUCCCUUUGUCCCUGUGUGCAAUCAGGAUAUUCCAUUCAACCUUACAUACGCCUUGGCACCCUGACCUGCUAUACAACGAACCCCAGCCGUUUGGGAAGGUGGAUUUGAGAAAUGUUUUCCUGUCUCCUUGCUUGACGCCCUGCAAUAAAAUCCAUUUUGCCCUCCUCAAA